rnacentral:rRNA from 1 species
AUGAACGCUGGCGGCGUGCCUAAUACAUGCAAGUCGAGCGAACAGACGAGGAGCUUGCUCCUCUGACGUUAGCGGCGGACGGGUGAGUAACACGUGGAUAACCUACCUAUAAGACUGGGAUAACUUCGGGAAACCGGAGCUAAUACCGGAUAAUAUAUUGAACCGCAUGGUUCAAUAGUGAAAGACGGUUUUGCUGUCACUUAUAGAUGGAUCCGCGCCGCAUUAGCUAGUUGGUAAGGUAACGGCUUACCAAGGCAACGAUGCGUAGCCGACCUGAGAGGGUGAUCGGCCACACUGGAACUGAGACGGGGUCCAGACUCCUACGGGAGGCAGCAGUAGGGAAUCUUCCGCAAUGGGCGAAAGCCUGACGGAGCAACGCCGCGUGAGUGAUGAAGGUCUUCGGAUCGUAAAACUCUGUUAUUAGGGAAGAACAAAUGUGUAAGUAACUAUGCACGUCUUGACGGUACCUAAUCAGAAAGCCACGGCUAACUACGUG